CUGAGGUGUUUGUGGCAGAUUGCUGCAGUGCCAGCGUGGUUCAGCUCCCUGAGCAGAAUUCCAGGGACAGGGAGGGGCUCCUCCCCUGGCAGCCAGCAGGACAGGCAGCACAGCAGGUCCUGAGCAUCCUUGGCCAGGGCUGUGCUCCUCCCUCCAGGUGUGUGGGUCACUGUGGCUGCUCAUCUUGUGCUGCCCCUGCCGUGUGGCUGCCCCUCCCCAGCACAAAACUUGCUGGGGGAGCUUUGAGAAGGAGCUUUCCUGCGCUCCCAGCAGUGCCUGUGGGACGGAGCUGGGUGUUCCAGGAGCUCUGGGAGGUGUCCCAGGGCUGUGGCACUCCAGAAGGAAGGCAGCACAUGGGGACAGGCAGCCCAAAGUCAGCU